rnacentral:rRNA from 1 species
ACAGAGGGGGCAAGCGUUAUUCGGAAUUAUUGGGCGUAAAGGGAGCGUAGGCGGUGUCUUAAGUGCGACGAGAAAUCUCCGCGCUUACCUUGGGAACUGCAUCUCAGACUGGGACACUAGAGUACUGGAGGGGGGGGUAGAAUUCCACGUAUAGCGGUGAAAAGCAAAAAAGUGUGAAUGAAGGCGAGAAGCGAAGGCGUGCACCAUGACUAAAACUGACACGAGGGCGCGAAACGGGCGGGGGCAGGCAG